rnacentral:lncRNA from 1 species
ACUCUUUUACUUUUCUUCUGAUUAAAAAAGCAGUUUUUCUAUAAAACAACAACAAAAACAACAACACUUUAAUAAUAUAGCAAAAAUGUGAGGCAUUCAAAAAUAGAAUUUACAAUAAGGUGUUUGCUCUACAGUAUUUUUAGAUGAUUCUAAAAAUAAAAACUUGUUUGUCAAGAACUUUUUAUUUUAAAGUUCUUUAAAAAAACAACUGCUUUAUGGUGAUCUGAAGAACCUACAGAAUUGUGUAAUCGAAUGAAACAACAUCUUGUUCUUUGUUGAUUGGUUUGAGAUGCUUGAAGUAUAAUGUUGUGCGUCACCUCUCAGUCUUUUUGAUCACAUGAAUGUAAGACGGCAGAAAAGACACUUCACAUGUGCCAUUACCUCUGAUCAAACCCUCUUUACUAAUGAAAAGAAAAACACUGGGGUCUAAUUGUUGCUUUCAAAACAACGUCAGUAGUCCAGAAUUGUGUCACAGGACUGUGCGUCAGGAGGAUUUUCCAGUUGUCGGUGUGUGUGGAAAGCUGAUGAUUGUCUGCCAUUGUCACCUGGGGUUGGACAUACGUGUUAAACCUGCACAUCUGGUUCUGUUCACAUGAUGGCCUUUCAGCUUCUUAUAAAUCACAGCACUGAACAGAGACAAACACACACAAGAGGAAUACACAAAGAAACAGUCAUGUUGUACAUUGUGGGGAUUGCUUUGGGGCUUAUUGUCAUCAUCCAGUGCAUGUCACAUGGUCUGAGUCAGAUACAUGCCAAAGUUGGGAAUGCCUUCCAAGAAAAAAAUAUACUUUACAUAAACAAGUGGAGAAUGAAUGAUCAGGAAGUUCACCUCAUCGUUAAACUCCUCUCUGUUGGGCUGGUGGAUGCAGAUCCAAACACUCUGCACCAUAUAAAAGAAUACAGAGAUCUGAGAGGAAGUUCAACCUGA